AGGGUCGAGAAAACAGGGCAUAGUGGCACAUUGGACCCCAAAGUUACAGGUAACUUGAUUGUUUGUAUUGAUAGAGCUACCCGCCUUGUUAAAUCUCAACAGGGUGCGGGUAAGGAGUAUGUUUGUAUAGCAAGAUUGCAUGAUAAGGUGCCUGAUGUUGCCAAAGUAGGCGCUUGAGACUCUUACUGGGGCGGUUUUUCAAAGGCCGCCAUUGAUUUCUGCUGUGAAAAGACA
rnacentral:misc_RNA from 1 species